AGAGUUUGAUCAUGGCUCAGGAUGAACGCUGGCGGUAUGCCUAACACAUGCAAGUCGUACGAGAGUUUUUAACUCUAGUGGCGGACGGGUGAGUAACACGUAAGAAUUUACCUUCAGGAGGGGGAUAACAAUUGGAAACAAAUGCUAAUACCCCAUAUGCUUUCGAGUGAAAUGGAUUUAUAUUUAUCCGCCUAAAGAGAAGCUUGCGUCUGAUUAGCUUGUUGGUAAGGUAAAAGCUUACCAAGGCGACGAUCAGUAUCUGGUUUGAGAGGACGAUCAGACACACUGGAACUGAGACACGGUCCAGACUCCUACGGGAGGCAGCAGUGGGGAAUUUUCCGCAAUGGGCGAAAGCCUGACGGAGCAAUACCGCGUGAGGGAAGACUGCCUAUGGGUUGUAAACCUCUUUUUUCAGGGAGGAACAAAA
rnacentral:rRNA from 1 species